ensembl:lncRNA
UAAAUUUGUUAACAAAUUUUCCCUGAAAUGUGAAUCCUUUAAUGACAGAGACAGAAAAUCAGUCUCUCUGAUAGGUUUUCCAACUAAGUAUGAAUUUAGAGUGGGACUGAUUGUACUGUUACAGAAUUAUAAACCAUGCCUGAAAUCACCAAGCCACCAAGACCUAGGUACAUGCAUAUGUGUGUAAGCAUGUAGAUAUGGUGCAAUACUUGCAGACAUGAGGUCUUGACCCACUGUCUCUAGAAUGCAAAAUGGUGCUAUUGCCAGGAAAAUUGAAAUAUAAAGCCAAUUUAAAAAACCCAUUAAAAGUUUAGUGGUUAUUAAAAUAAUGUAAUGAUUCUUACAAAUUUGGACAGAUAUUUUGGGAAGAUUGAUAGAAUAUGGAUACUACUGGGGAUAAAAGUGAUUACAACUGCCUGAGGAAUAAGACCUUCCCCUUAAUAAGUGAGCUGUUUCUUAAUGGAAACCUUUGCCAACAUUCUUGUAACUUCCACUUGUAUUUUGAUUUGUUCUCACCUCUCUCCCCUUCCCCAGAGUUGGCAAACUCUACGAUGAGGUCUUCUGUCUCAAUAUUUUUAUGGAGACACAGGGCACUUGGUCAUUAAACUUUUUCUCUAAUCUUUCUAACAAAAAGUAAAAUGAGAAAGAAUGGAAGAAAGAAGGGAAAAGAAAAAAAAUAAUGAAAUCUAAAAAAAUAAUGAAUAAUGAAAUCUAAAACUUUGGUAGUAAGGGGUAGCAUCCCUAGUGGAAGAAAUUCUGACUAACCAAGACGAGCUGAAAUAUAUCUAUUCUCAAAUUUAAAUAUCUACUGAAAGAAGCUGGGCAGGUAACAAAAAUGAGGAAGUAGACUGGGGUUAAGAAAAAUUUUAAUAACUACUUAAGUACAAAGUACAUGCCAUUUCCCCAUUAUGUCUAUUCUACUAUAAAAAAUAUACCAGUGCCAUGGUGAUGAAGAACAACCAUGAAGGGGUGAACACAGAUGACGCAGGAGAGGGUAUGUCCUAUAGGAAUGGGCUCUCAGUGCUGCCUGAUUCUAAGAGAACCCAGAAUUCUAAUCUUAGUGUGAAUAUUUUAAUAUGCAGGCAAUCAAUUCAGAUUUUCUAAAAAAAUAUGUGUGGAUCAUCGUGAAGGCCCUCUAGUUUCUGACUGCUGAUUUACAUAUACCCAGUGAAUAAAAGGAUUGGGAAGAGAGCCUGGACUUCCUGAUCAGAGAUUUUUCCCCUCUCAAUGUAUAUAACCCUUGAAGCUUCAUUCUUGCCCUUUGAGGGCAUUCUGUUCAAUUUUGCAAGUGUAUAUUGAGUGUAUCACUAUAUCAUAACAGUAUGCCUUGGGAUGAAAAAUUUUCACCACUAGUUUAUACUACAACUUUGGAGAUUUGAUAUAGUAAGUUUGAUAUCACGUCCUAUGAUAGUGAUUCCCAAUCAGACUCUAGAUUAGAAUCCAAGGAGUCACAUCCUGAUCCAAGAAUUAGAUUCUAAACUUAUCCAUAAAGAAAAAGUUCUGUGUGUCAAAAUUACUCUUGAAAAAUUCCCUAGGAAUGCUCCAUCAUGAAGACAGACUCCAUCACCAUGUCAAUUUUCCCUUUGAUGUUGGAAUAGAUUCAUUGCUUCCUGGACUAAGCAUAGAGGAAGUAAAUGAUGUGACUUUC